rnacentral:lncRNA from 1 species
ACUCACGGGUCCCUCCUCCUGGAGGGCCUCUGCCCCUCCCCUCUCUGGCUGGCUCCUCCGCGUCAUCCGAGCCGCGGCUACCGCACCGCCUCCUCCGGGAAGCCUUCCACGACCACCACUCACGCUUCAUUCUCUGCAGAGCCCUUGUGACUCCGUUGCUCGCCUGUCAUCCCUCUCCUCUUACUCGAGGACAAGUGACACUGGACCGGAGUGUCUCCGUUCCCAGUGUGAAGGAUCGAGCCUGGCUCGGAGGAGGCGCUCAGGGUGGUUCGGGCCCGGCCCUUGUGAGUGGAGGGUCGUUGCGCAUCCUCCUCCUCACUUUCUUCCUGCCGGGACGUUCUCAGCCGGGAACUGACAGAUCCUGCUUAGCCCGGGGCCCAGCACUGAGAAAUCUGGGAAGGAACGUUGCUCACCGCACAUGGGCCGUGGCCCCAUCCUUCGGGCCCUUUAGGUGGGGAAUCGGGCUAGCAGCUCCAGCCACGGCACUGGGACGGGGAGCGCUAUCGUCCCAGGAGACCGGGCGAUGAGCCAAGGCUGCUGUGUAUCCAACCUGACAUCUGCAGGAAACCCCCCCGGAACCUGCCCAUGCACCACACCACAGAGAAACCAGGACACAGGGGCUCAGGGCCAGUGGGGGCGCAAAGGCUGCAGACCGGGAGCGGGGCACCCUGACAGAUGUAAGUGCUCUGGGCAACACUUCACCACAGCCAUCUGCCAGCCUUGAGUCCAGUGACAAGAGGGAACAAGAUGGUUUACAAGUCACCCCUAUUCUCUGCAAAUCCAGUUUAUUAAACUUGGAGUUCACAAAGAAUAAACGGUUAAUUCCUA